CAGUCGCCGCGGGAAUACGUAGGGUGCGAGCGUUAAUCGGAAUUACUGGGCGUAAAGCGUGCGCAGGCGGUUAUAUAAGACAGAUGUGAAAUCCCCGGGCUCAACCUGGGACCUGCAUUUGUGACUGUAUAGCUAGAGUACGGUAGAGGGGGAUGGAAUUCCGCGUGUAGCAGUGAAAUGCGUAGAUAUGCAGAGGAACACCGAUGGCGAAGGCAAUCCCCUGGACCUGUACUGACGCUCAUGCACGAAAGCGUGGGGAGCAAACAGGAUUAGAUACCCCGGUAGUCCCUGUCUCUUAUAC
rnacentral:rRNA from 1 species